AACUUUCAGCAACGGAUCUCUUGGCUCUCGCAUCGAUGAAGAACGCAGCGAAAUGCGAUAAGUAAUGUGAAUUGCAGAAUUCAGUGAAUCAUCGAAUCUUUGAACGCACCUUGCGCCCCUUGGACAUUCCGAGGGGCAUGCCUGUUUGAGUAUC
rnacentral:rRNA from 1 species